AAUUACAAUUGGAUGGAAGUCGAGGACAAGGAGAAGGAAGCUUAGGAUGAGGAGGAAGAGAAGCAGCAGAAGCAUCUUUAGGGAUCUCUAUGAUGUCAUUGAGAGGUAGCGGCGAGAGGCGGGACCUCGACUCAUCCAGCUGGAGAGCCUGAUCAGGAGGCGUCGAACAUUAACUCUGCUCUUCCAGGGCACCCUGCAGACUCGGCUACUGGCAACAGCGAGGGAGUGCGGCCGUCGCUGGGAUGACGUGAACGCCAAACAGGAGUCCAUCACAGGUCGACUGCAGCUCCUUGUCUCAGAGUGGGAGGGAUUUGAAGCACAAAGUGAGGACCUUGUCGUUUGGUUGGCUGAUAUGGAUGUCCACCUGAGUGAGGUUGACCAGCUGACAGGAAACACCUGUGAAAAGCUGAAACAACUGCAGGUGUUGGGGUUGUUUUGAUAUGACAUAUAUUUGAUAUGAUACAUACGUCAAGAGACAUUAUCCUAAACUGGACUAACAAAGAACCAUGAGU